rnacentral:rRNA from 1 species
GGGAGGCAGCAGUGGGGAAUUUUGGACAAUGGGGGAAACCCUGAUCCAGCCAUUCCGCGUGAGUGAAGAAGGCCUUCGGGUUGUAAAGCUCUUUCAGCCGGAACGAAACGGUACGCUCUAACAUAGCGUGCUAAUGACGGUACCGGCAGAAGAAGCACCGGCUAACUACGUGCCAGCAGCCGCGGUAAUACGUAGGGUGCGAGCGUUAAUCGGAAUUACUGGGCGUAAAGCGUGCGCAGGCGGAUUGUUAAGCAAGAUGUGAAAUCCCCGGGCUUAACCUGGGAAUGGCAUUUUGAACUGGCAGUCUAGAGUGCGUCAGAGGGGGGUGGAAUUCCACGUGUAGCAGUGAAAUGCGUAGAUAUGUGGAGGAACACCAAUGGCGAAGGCAGCCCCCUGGGAUGACACUGACGCUCAUGUACGAAAGCGUGGGUAGCAAAUAGGAUUAGAUACCUUGGUAGUCCACGCCCUAAACGAUGUCAACUGGUUGUUGGGGGAGUGAAAUCCCUUAGUAACGAAGCUAACGCGUGAAGUUGACCGCCUGGGGAGUACGGUCGCAAGAUUAAAACUCAAAGGAAUUGACGG